rnacentral:rRNA from 1 species
UAUUGCACAAUGGGGGAAACCCUGAUGCAGCGACGCCGCGUGAGUGAAGAAGUAUUUCGGUAUGUAAAGCUCUAUCAGCAGGGAAGAUAAUGACGGUACCUGACUAAGAAGCCCCGGCUAACUACGUGCCAGCAGCAGCGGUAAUACGUAGGGGGCAAGCGUUAUCCGGAUUUACUGGGUGUAAAGGGUGCGUAGGUGGCAUGGCAAGUCAGAAGUGAAAGCCCGGGGCUCAACCCCGCGGACUGCUUUUGAAACUGUCAGGCUGGAGUACAGGAGAGGUAAGCGGAAUUCCUAGUGUAGCGGUGAAAUGCGUAGAUAUUAGGAGGAACACCAGUGGCGAAGGCGGCUUACUGGACUGUAACUGACACUGAGGCACGAAAGCGUGGGGAGCAAACAGG